rnacentral:rRNA from 1 species
GGACGCCAGUCUGCAUGGAGCCGGCCUUGAAAUACCACCCUUUAAUGUUUGAUGUUCUAACGUUGACCCGUAAUCCGGGUUGCGGACAGUGUCUGGUGGGUAGUUUGACUGGGGCGGUCUCCUCCUAAAGAGUAACGGAGGAGCACGAAGGUUGGCUAAUCCUGGUCGGACAUCAGGAGGUUAGUGCAAUGGCAUAAGCCAGCUUGACUGCGAGCGUGACGGCGCGAGCAGGUGCGAAAGCAGGUCAUAGUGAUCCGG